AGAAUCAACGCUGGCGGCGUGCCUAACACAUGCAAGUCGAACGAGAAAGUGGAGCAAUCCAUGAGUAAAGUGGCGCACGGGUGAGUAACACGUGACUAACCUACCCUUGAGUGGGGAAUAACCUCGGGAAACCGGGGCUAAUACCGCAUAACACCUACGGGUCAAAGGAGCAAUUCGCUUAAGGAGGGGGUCGCGGCAGAUUAGUUAGUUGGCGGGGUAAUGGCCCACCAAGACGGUGAUCUGUA
rnacentral:rRNA from 1 species